CAGUUUUGUCUUGUAUUUAUUUACACAUUUCUAGGCUCAGCAGUACUGGAUGCCUUCGAUCCAGUGAUUUAUAUGGAACACGAGGCUAUCAUGGGGGGGUUUAAAUGCCUAUAUUACUUAACAAAAAAAGAACAGGCACACCACACAAACUACCCAGCACUUCUGGAAUUGGCAGAGCUGCUUGGGUGCGAUUACUUCAAAAAGCUUAAGGUAAAUAAACUUUCUUGCUAUAAUAUUUGCAAAUAUUACUACUAGUCAGAUUGAGUACAUAAGGUAAAAUCCAGAUUCAUUUUAUUUGUUCACAGAUUGGGAAAAGAACCAACUAUAGAUCACAUCGAAUUAUUGACGAGAUGCUUGAGAUUUUGGCUGCAGUGGUGGAGGAGCCCAUACUUAAGGACAUCCAGUCUUCUGUGGCUAUAGGGCUAGAAAUUGAUGAGAGCACGGAUGUGUUCGUGACAAGGCAGCUGGAUCUGCAUGUCAGAUAUAUGGAUGCAGAAGGCAAGCUUUAUAGUCAGUUCCUUGACUUAGUGGCAUUGUCUGAUGGGAAGGCAAACACCAUUGUGGCAGCUCUAAAUGAAGUGCUCGUCAAAAAAAAGGUCCCUACAGAAAAGCUGUUUGGACUGGGAACAGAUGGAGCAGCAGUAAUGACUGGUACUGUAUGAACUUGUUUACACAGAGUUGUUUUUUUUACUGUCAGUGUUUUUGUCAAAACUGAUCAACAGUUGUGUGAUCAGAUGACUAAAUAACUAAAAUAACCAUAGUACCACUAGCAAGCAUGGAGGAAGUGAGUGGCCUGUAUUUGCUUCCUUUUUGUAACAGGGAGGCUGAAUGGUGUAGCAAAGCAGAUGCAGGAUUCCUUGCCCUGGUUGCUGUCUGUUGCCUGUGCUGCUCAUCGCCUCGCCCUGGCUUGUAAGGAUGCUUCAUCUGAAGUUCCAUACAUGGGAACAUUCAGGGAUCAUCUACAAAGUCUCCACCUGUAUUUUCACAACAGCGCAAACAGAACUGCAGUUCUUAGAGCUGCUUCACAGGUCUUGGGCCUUGACAACCUGACUGUAAAGGAAGUGAAGGACACACGGUGGCUGUCUCAGCAUCUGGCAGUGAGCAAUCUACAACGCAACCUUUGCGCAGUGCUUGGUGCCUUGGC